GUCCCUGCCUGCAGCUGUGGCACGGCAAUGACCUACAGCCCGUGCUCCUCCCAUUGAUGUGGGUGCACGCAGACUUUGCAGGGUCCAAGCUCUGCAUUUUAGUACUCAUUUUGAAUGAGUUUUCUUUAAAUCACGUUUAUUUUCGAUGUUGGCUUUCUCGGGACCGCAUUCAGGAUCUGAGCUUUCUGCAUCAGAAUCCAAGACAACUCCUCAUUUUGUUGAAGAAUUGUCCAGAAAUGAAGAAGACUUUCCUGUCAGAGGGAGAUUUCUCUGCCAUGGAUCUCAUCUGGGUUCUGGAAACUACUGUUCCCCUGAGAAAAUGAAGGGAAUAUGGACCUCUCCAGGAGUCAAAUUUCUGUCUUUUGCAUACCUGCACUGAUUGGGCUUCCAAGGUGGGAGAUUUCUUACCUUCUCCUUUGGAUAGUAACAGCAGAGCAUUUGUUUGGUCCACCUUGCCCAGGGAGGAGGCUACCAUCAGCACUAGUGGGCAUGCAGGUUCAGAGAGAUGGGCAGGAUCUGCAUGAGCCUUGAACCAAGACUGCUGAACACGUCAGUAGGUGUUUUGCUUGACUUUACACUCCAUGUUUGGGCAUGUUUGAAAGCAGGCAAGGCAGUUGACUGAAUGCAUUCAGAUCUCCAGCCCAGAGGAGAUGACAAUUUAAUUUUGAAUCACAGAAUCACAGAGUAACACAGAAUCACAGAACUGCAGCGGUUGGAAGGGACCUCAUGAAAACGAAUCCAGCUCCCCUGCUAAAGCAGGUACCCUACAGCACGUUGCAUAGGUAGGUGUCCAGAUGGAUCUUGAAUAUUCCCAUAGAAAGAGACCCCACAACCUCUCUGAGCAGCCUGUUCCCCUUACUGUAAAGAAGUUCUUCUGCAAGUUGGUACAGAACUUCCUAUGUUCAAGUUUUAGGUAAUUGUUCCUUGUCCUGUUGUUACACACCACUGAGAAUAGACUGACCCCAUCCAUUUGCCUUUGACCUCCCUUUAGAUAUUUAUAAACAUUUAUCAGAUCUCUCCUCAGUCAUUUCACCAGGUGAACAGACCCAGGUUACUCAGACUUUCCUCAUAUGUGAGAUGGUCCAAGUCCUUUACCAUCUUUGUGGCCCUCCACCAGUCUCCUUCUAGGAGAUCCCUGUGUUUUUUGAACUGAGGAGCCCAGAACUGGACACAGUACUCCAGAUGUGGCAUCAUCAGGGCAGAGUAGAGGGGGAGGAUCACUUCUGUUGACCUGCUGGCCAUGCUGAUGACCAGCAGGAUGAGCUAAAAAAAAUAGGAGAUGAGGUUGCCCAUAGAUGCAACCCUCUUGGAGCUUCUCUAAAACAAGCCCAUCUGUUUGCUCAUAUUUACCCUGUCUGGAUGAUGCCACAGACUUUUUUGCAGCUAGCAUUUCCCAGUGUUGUUGAAUUCAGGGUGGAAAUAGUGGUGAAAACAUUUUCCUGGGACUCUUCCUCCCCUCUGAACUGAAAUGGAGCCCACCCCUGGCAAGAGAUGGGCAGGUGGAAGACAGCGUAAGUGUUGUGUGGAAAGGGACACUGACCUGCUCUGUCGCCUCUGAUGAAUUACUUCCACAAAGCAGCAACGUGGUUAUCUUUAACAAGAACUUUGUCCAGCACAGCGAGGCUUUCCUUCAGCUUCGCCACUGUGGAAUACUCUCAUAACUUUAAUUCAUAUCAGGGGUCGAUUGUGAGUUUAAAUAUAUGCAAUGCACUUUUAAGUCUUGUGCAAACAAAGACCAGACAGGGACUGGGACAAACUGAUGCAUGAGCAACCAUGUUGUUCCUUCUCCAGUCCAAGAACUGGAUUCUUUCACAAAAUCCUCUGUGUGGCAGUGAUAACAAGACAAAUAUUUGACAUAGCUGUAAGAUAACACUCUGACACGCUAGUAAACACAAGUGAAUUAGUGGUUAUGAGAGAGACCCCAUGACACAGUUGCUUGCAGUAAGUUGGAUGCCAUCUCUUAGAAGACUUCUUGCAACCUGUUCUUAUCGGUUUUUGGUACAGAUUAAUGGGGAGACUUCCAGUAGGAUUUGGGUUACUGUCUGGCAUAGACACUUUUGAAAAUCUUACCUUAUCUCUAUGUAAUGACUAUGUAAUUCAUGCAGUGUGUUGAAGGUACACUUGAAAAAGUAGGUCUGGAUCGUAAUAUCCCUCCCUGCAUCCUUCUUUCCCAUCAGGCCAAAAUGGCACACCUCUGUGUGUGCUGGAUUACAAUUUAUGCUGAAAAUGUUCCACAAAGGUCAUAGCAGCUAUCUGAGGAACAAGCAGAGCUGUGCACCCUGCCCUGUGCUCAUGUAGAUUACCAGAGGUAGCAAUAAGGCCAGGGACUGUGUGCAGUAAGGAAAACUAGAGAAACUUGGAAACUGCGCAGGCUUUAGAUUGUAGAGUGUUACGAAGGGCUCAGAUGGGAGAGUUUACCAGAAGAAGUGCAAUUUAGAAAUUGAAACAGAUGGAAUUUCAGUAUCCUUUGCAAAUUGGCGUAUCAGACUCCUACAAUAGCUUGCAGAAUCCUUGUCCCUCCCAGUGCAUAGCUGGUUCUUACUCCCUGAACUUGAUUUGUUAACAUCUGAUGUCGAAGGGUCUGUUUCUUAUUUUUGUUGAGUUAUACCUUAAAUGUGUCCUUUUUGGCUACUUAUGUUCUCAUUUCUGCAAAGCGGCAGCCAAGCAGGGGCCCAAGAGCUCAUUCCUGGCCUUCAGAUUUAUUCCCAUCGCUUUGAUGGGUUGAGUCUGGUGCUGCCUGUAUUGCAGAGCACCUGGAUGGGGCGAUCACAGGCAUUCACUGGCACUGUGAUCUCAGCUGUGGAAACAAUUUUGCUGGCAGCAGAAGCUCAGUUUCACUGGGGAGGGGCCCAUAUUUCUUGUUUGAAGUGUGUGAAGCCUCAUCACAGUUCUGUUAUCAGACCCACUGGAAUUUUUUCCUUUCCUCUCUUCUUGGUCCACCUUCUCUCAUUCCUCUAAAUCUUACUUUACUUCUGCUUCUUCUCAAAGUCUCUAAUGUUACUUUUCUGGCUCUUUUUUUCUGUAAUCUCUCCCUUCAUUUUUUCUUCACCCAUUAGCUCUUCCUUCACGAUGCUCCUCUACUGCCUCCUCCAUUUUCUCUGCCUCUCUUGUUCACUUUCCAGGUGCCUCUCAUUCUUCUCCCCAUGUCCUCACUUUCAUUUCUUCUCCAGAAGCUCUCUGAAUUGCUGCAGCUAUGGGGUAUACCCCUUGGAAAGAUAGCCCUGUCUGAGUUAGAGGUGCUGUGAGCUGCAGAUCUGUUGCUGAUGUUAGUAUUUUUUUUGACAAGUGACACAGGUGACACAAGUGACACAGGGGGCCCAUGGAGCCAAGUAGCGUAGCUGGGCAGUAGAAGGCAGCUUAUGCCACAAAAGACAUCACUUGCUCCAUGGACCAAAAGAGAUUACAGCCCCAUUCCGACACAUAAACCAUUGAGGUUUACUGAAAAUAAGGAUUGAUUUGCUGGGCUAUUUAGAGGCAUUAAGAUGCAGAUAUAUAUUUUCUCCCCAGUCUGAUGUCAUUUUGCAUGUUAACUGCCUAAUUCCUUUUAGCCUAUUGAUUUUACUGGUUUAUAAGAAUGACACUUGUGUAGAAACUGUGGAGAACUUUGCUCAGGGUGACCAGUGAAGACUGUCAGUUUCUCUCAGUCGUCUUAUGGGGGGACUGAAGGCUCAGCACAGUUUAAGAGGAGAAAAAAUAGGGAGAGAAAGAACAAUGGCACUUCAUAGACCAUACUCCUUAGGUUGUAUCUGACUCUGGCUAAAUGACCUGGACUGAAAAAUGUUUUCCUGAGGCUCAGCUCAGCUGACAUCUGCAGCAUGGUCCUCAUAUUUUGUGAUAGUCGAGAGUGGUAUUCAUGAAAUUCUGUGUCAACUUCUUUAGCAUAUUAAGAUUGAAGAAUGCUAUGAAGUAAGCAUGAAUAUCAUUAUUCAAUUUCUCUUCCUUCUAGUAACUCUGAUUUACUUCAGAUUUUACGUGAUCUCCCAAUUAUCAGAGUUUGAUGUGCCACAGGUGUUUCUAUAAGCAUACUGUUGUAUUGCUUUUCGUUCCUUGGAGAACAGUUGAUGCUUUGCCAAUGUCUGAAUGGACCUGCUAACUCUGAGAGCAAAGAAGUGGUUAAUUUGAUAAUAUUUAACUUGCUAAACCAUUCAUAUGCAGAGGUAACGUGCUCAGGAGUUGAACAGGGCAGUGCGAUCUCCCUUAGCUAUCAUUUCAGGAUGCCUGCAGAAUCAGGAAGGCCGUGUAUCAGCUUACACUCAACUUGGUAAUCUUGCAUGGGGCCUGUUUGUGUCUCUUGUGCUGAAGGCUGAAUGUAAAAUGAACAUUGUUAGCCAAGAAAGCAAAUAAAGGGAACUAUUUCCCAAGGCAUUUUACUCUGUUUAUUUAACGCCUCUGAACAAACCCCUUUCCACAUCCUCUGAACCUACUGGCAACUUCAGAUAGCUCCAUUUCCUGCUGGGUGAGUUUUUUCUAAAAUGUUUAUUCAGCUCCAGGAAAUGAUGAUUUCCUGAAUAUUCUGAAACUUCAUAUUUUUGUUGUAUCCCUGUUUAUUUAAUAGUCUUACUUAUUGUGUGAGUGUGCAAAGCACAACAACAUCCCUUGCCAUGUAACUGUGGAAGGAGUGGAACUUGAUGUAGUACAUCAAAAACCAGUUUAAGUGAAACUAGAUCUGUUUUUGCCAAUUUAUACACUAGUGUAUUUCCAUUAGCUUGAGUAGUUACUCCUUAUUUACACUGACCUUAAUGAGUUCAGAAGUAGGCUUUUAAAUUUCUCCUACUCCUUAAGAAAAAGUGCCUAAAAAUUCAAACUAGUGAAGGAGAAUUAAUUAGCCCAAAGCUCAACAUUUUAUAAUUCACAGCUUACAUUAAUGUCUGCUAGUUUUCUUUAUGCAGGAAACCAAUAGAAGGCACCAAAUGUUUUCGUCGCCCUCCGCUGGGACUAAAAUUGAGAAAUUCUUAUUUUGUGAGGUCAAAGCUAACCUGUAUCCAGCACCCCAUCCCAACAUGGGUUUCACUAAAGAGAUUGAAACCUGUACACAGCCUUAAUGAAAAGGCCAUAAUAUUUUAUGUGAACCAGGAGUAACUAUGCUGAAAUGAGAAGUGCUUCACUAAGGUAAAUCAAGUGGGAUUGGUCCCAAAAGAAAUUCAGGAAUUACAUAGCUUUGCCAUUAACCUUGAACUGAGCCAAGUGUGUCUUCCAUGCUUUCUCCUUCUUUCUUGUCUACUUUUUGUUAACCUGCAUGGUCAGCUAUGACUUUUUUUUUUUUUUUCUUUUCUUUUUACAGGCAGAAAAGGUAAUUUAUGUUUCUUCUGAGCCUCAAGAGACAAUAUGGGCAUGCUGCGUUACCAUGCCCUAAAUGAAAUCUUAGAGUACCUAAGUAAAACUCACUCCACCCUUACCUGGAAGUUCCACUCAUGGAAACCACAUCCUUUCAUUGCCACCCACGUCUCCAUUUGGAAAGGACUUUGAAGGAGGAAGACUGAAGAUUAGAUCAUUCUUUUAUUAAGCAUCCUUUUGUCUGUUUUGCUCCAGAAACCAUGCUCUUCCUCUCCUAUGAGUCAUUUGUUGUUACUCUUACAAUUUCUGUGGUAGGAAGGCUGGGUGCUUUCCCCCAAUUUAAAAUGUUCUUUUUAGAGUUUCUCUUCUCUUCUCUUCUCUUCUCUUCUCUUCUCUUCUCUUCUCUUCUCUUCUCUUCUCUUCUCUUCUCUUCUCUUCUCUUCUCUUCUCUUCUCUUCUCUUCUCUUCUCUUCUCUUCUCUUUUUUUUUCUUCUCUUUUUUUCUUCCCUUUCCUUCCCUUCCCUUCCACUCCCUUCCCUUCUCCUUUUCCUCUCCUCUCCCUUUCUUCUCCCCUCCCCUCCCCUCUCCUCCCUUCCUUCCUUCCAUGUCCCUUCUUUGUUUUUUGUUAUGCAUUUCAUAUUCAUUCACUAUUUUUACCCAAUUCAGACAGAGCCAUGCUACAUUGUGGACUGUUGCCAAAAAUUCUGCCAGUGACAAAGAUUGAAGCCUUCAUACGAACUGGAAGGAGUCUGUUCUUGGUCCACCCCAUGUGAAGCAACACUGUGCCCAUGCAUCUCUAUCUGAGAUGAAUAUUCUUUCUUUUGAUGCCAAGUAUUUGAUGUCCACCUACUGAGCUGAGUAAUCUCUGAGGAUGCCAUUGUUGCCAUGUUACCUCCUUCCUGAGUUCCUGUUGUGUAACUUUCCCACCAAUGUCUAUACUGGAUGGUGAAAAGAAGAAUGAAGACGAGACAGCCAGUGCUGUCAGCUUUUCUUCCACCUGAUUCAGGCUUUGGCCAUGCCCUGUAUCUGCUCCAGAAAGCCAAGGCUUCAGAUGAAGGAUGGAAGAAGGAAAGCAGGAGGCUGGGAAAUGAUUUUGGUCAUGUCCACGCUGGCAGGGCCUGAAUCUUGAUAUGUUUGCUAUAUGAUACUACCACAAUUCCUUAAGGAGUAACAUGAUAGUUUUCUGCAGAGGAAUGUUUUCUGAACAUGGCCAAAAUAUGGCAUUUGGAAAAGUGAGCUGCACAUCAUUUCUCCAAAUGAGAAUGCAAAUAGCGGAGAAUGCAAAUAGCUGGCCUUUUAAAGCCUCCCUGAAAAUUUCAUAGACAACUCAGAUCAAUAUGAUUUAAAGGACUUCUCUCCUGACAACACUAACCCUAUGGAUAGUCCCCCCCAUGCUGUCUGUGAUCAUCCUACCAGGCCCUGCUGCCAGCAUGAAAAAUACAAUAUCAAGUUUGAGGAAAUCUGUGGCAGAAAAUAACGCCAACUUUUGCAUGUACUACUGAGUAACUGGACUCCAAAAGUGAAACAGAGAGAGUGACAAGUAAUGAUGGACAAGAAAAGGCUCAUCCCUUAGACACAAAGCAAGCUCCAAGAUCUGCUCUUCCUACUUGUGUUAUAUUUACCUUGUCUUUCUGUACUGUGGAGACACAGGCACUCACAGGGCAUGGUGAUCCAAGCUUGCAAAUGGAAACAAGGUCUACAGCCUCGGUGAGGAAGCUGGCAUGGUGGGGUGUGUUAAGGCCCACAACAUAUUACAUGAUGAUGGAUUGAUGGGACCACAUCAAGGGGCCCUGAGAGCAAUGUGGCUCUUUGGGUAAGAGGAAAUGGCAGAAUCAGAGGAACAUCAUUAGUUAACCCACCCACAGUGCGGGAGAGACCUCAAAACCAACAAACAAUGGGUUAGAAGCUCACAGCUGGAGGUGGCAGCCCCAUAAUAACACCAGUGACAAAAAUCAAAGGAAUAAGAAGGAGCAGUUAACAUUUCCUCCACAAAUGCUAAAAACAGCACCAAAUAAUGUGUAUGAAUCAUCAUAUCUACUCUUACGCAAGCUGGAAUAAAAAUGUAAGAGUCAUGCAAACUGGGAUAAACUGUCACGCUCUGAGACAUAAUGCAUCUCCAGAAGUAAAGAAGAAACUGUUCCACAGGAAGAAGUGCAGCAUCAGAAGAUGCUAGAUCCCUUGCAGGAGGAGCUGACAGCACCGUGAUCAUCUUCUGGAUCUGAAGUAGGUCCUGUGAUAUCUGGCAUUUUCUUCAUUUUUCUUUAACCUUGUGACUCUUCAACCCUGCAGAGAUUACUUAAAAAGCAAGAAACCUACUGAAGACAACAUCAAAACAAAUAAAAAUAACAGUUUAAAUUAACAAAUCACUGAAAAACUGAGAAAACACAUGAAUUUUAAGCUGAUCCCAUGAUUGCAAAGACUGGAAUCGUGACUUGGAACUCUUGUGUUCGAACACAGUGGCCUGCCCUGUGCGAUUUGGAGGGCAAGCACCAAAUGUUUCAUGAGCCUGGUGCAGUCACAGGGCUGAGAUACACAGAUAUUAGGUCUAAUGGUGAAAGCUGCCCAGCAUCUGUCAUUCCCACAGAAGCCAAUGGAAACGGCAAGCACUCAGCUCUGAAGGAUCAGGCCUUUAAUCAUUAAUAUGUUUC
ensembl:lncRNA